CAGCAACAAAGCAAUCCAACAGAGGAAACUUCUUCCCACUUUUAAACUCAGAAAGUGAUUGCUCUCAAGCAAAAGUGACAUCAAAUGCUUUUUUAGAUAAAAGGUGGUACAAAUAAGAAAGAUCCUCCAGGAGAGGCUUUAAAGUGUCUUUCAAAAUUAGCAAGCACAAAAAGCCCAUAGGUCAAGAAUCAAGUCCUCUCCUGUAAUCCGUAUUCACUCAGAUAGCAUUUCAAGCUCAGGCUCCUGGAACUGACUUUCAAAGUCAUUUCUUCAUGAAAUGCGUGUUAUAUUAUUGUCGCUAUUCAUCCACCUCUAAACACCUGGCAUCAGGCAAAGUUCAAAGGAAUCAAACAAUGAACUGACCCCUUGCGGGGAAAAAAAAGUAAGAGCAGCACCAGGACUGGUCAGAAUGCUGGAAAAUGGACACUGAUAUGUGAAGCAAAAUAUUUCACUGUGGAUAACAGAGCUGUGUUAGGAUGGUAGGACAUGGUCUGCUUAUCGAGAUACUAUGGCAGAGAAGAGCUUUGCUGGCAGAGGCCUUGGAAAAAUGAACACAAUGAUUAAUAGUAUCAUGGCAGCACUAUUAUUUGAGUUCACUGCUGUGCUCAUCAUAUCCAGACAUGCUGCAGAGAUAAGGGACACUGUUUUCAGAGUUUCAAUACCCUCUCCACUUGGCUCUGGGAAGAAGUUGAGGCUUGGCUUUCUUUGAGGUGCUGUGUUGAAAGAGAAGUAGGAAGAACGCCUGAAUGGGAUCAACCACUGCUUUUGUGAACAAAUACCAGCAAUUAAGCUAGACGUUAUUGCAUGGAGAGGGAAUAAAACUUGCAAAUUGUCGUACUUCUGCUUCA
rnacentral:lncRNA from 1 species